UAAGUCUCCUGAAGGAACGUUGAAGACGAUGACGUUGAUAGGCCGGGUGUGUAAGCGCAGCGAUGCGUUGAGCUAACCGGUACUAAUGAACCGUGAGGCUUAACCUU
rnacentral:rRNA from 1 species